rnacentral:rRNA from 1 species
UGGCUGGUGUUCUAACGUAGACCCGUGAUCCGGGUUGCGGACAGUGUCUGGUGGGUAGUUUGACUGGGGCGGUCUCCUCCCAAAGAGUAACGGAGGAGCACGAAGGUUGGCUAAUCCUGGUCGGACAUCAGGAGGUUAGUGCAAUGGCAUAAGCCAGCUUGACUGCGAGCGUGACGGCGCGAGCAGGUGCGAAAGCAGGUCAUAGUGAUCCGGUGGUUCUGAAUGGAAGGGCCAUCGCUCAACGGAUAAAAGGUACUCCGGGGAUAACAGGCUGAUACCGCCCAAGAGUUCAUAUCGACGGCGGUGUUUGGCACCUCGAUGUCGGCUCAUCACAUCCUGGGGCUGAAGUAGGUCCCAAGGGUAUGGCUGUUCGCCAUUUAAAGUGGUACGCGAGCUGGGUUUAGAACGUCGUGAGACAGUUCGGUCCCUAUCUGCCGUGGGCGCUGGAGAAUUGAGGGGGGCUGCUCCUAGUACGAGAGGACCGGAGUGGACGCAUCACUGGUGUUCGGGUUGUCAUGCCAAUGGCACUGCCCGGUAGCU